rnacentral:ncRNA from 1 species
UGCUCCGGUGCGGCCGGUGGCUGACAGACAAAGGACGUGCGGGGGAAAGGAAUUCCGCCGAACCCCGCCUCGCCGUAGGCUGCCCGCCGCGUCCGCGCACGACCCCGGGUGCGCUCACCCGGGCGGGUGAACAUCCCCGGAUCGGCUGGAUUUCGGAGCCCCACGCGGCUCUACGCUCAGCGCGACACAACCGCAGACAUGAGACGGCCCCCGCCGGGACGGCAAUCCCAGUGCGAGGGCCUGACCACCGAGGAAGAAUCGAGCUUCCCG